AUACGCCCAGUGCAUUUCGCAAGCUUGACGUAAGUCUGACAUCAGUCUUACGGUCAGUCUUACAGAGCUUGACAUCAGACUGAUGUAAGACUGACGGUCAGUCUGAUGUCAAACGAUUCUGCACCGUUUGCGUCAAGCUGUCGGGCUUCGAACAUGCGAGCUGGAGUUCGACGAAUCAGACUGACGUAAGCCUGAUGUCAAGCUAGAACGUCGAACCCUUGUCAAGCUCGUUUUUACGGGUUUCUUCUUCUUUUUUGUAUUGAUUUUGUGAUUUCAGCACCAACAUUUCAAAAGCACGUAACUGUUUUUGUAAACAAGAGCGCGAUUACUCUUGUUUACAAAAACAAUUACGAGCUUUUGAAAUGUUGGUGCUCAAUGAUUAAAACAGCAAGAAACCUGCAAGAAACUUUAUUUUAUUUAUUUAAAAUAAUAUAAUAAUAUUUAGGUGAAUAAGUAACUUAACAUUUAUAGAUAUACCGUGAGGGUCUCGAGAGAAGAGUUGGUAAUUCUUUGAGAUACAGGGGGGAAUGCACAUAAAGAUUCCACGAAUAAACUGGAGAUCUUUGGCAUUAUUAAAAAUAAUCCUUUUAUAUCUGAACAUUUCUAGAGAAUAUAAUGAUUCUUGGGUAUACCAAAAUGAUUCUUAGGAUUCCAGAAAAUGUAAGCUUGCCAUUCUCAGGAAAAGCUGAAGACGUUUGUUCCCGGCCAUUUCUAUAAACUCCCUCGAGAAUUCCUCGAAAAUUCUUCCAUAUUUUCCUCUGGAAUUCUUCCAGAAGUUCCUCGGCAGUUCUUCCAGAAGUUCAUCGGGAAUUCUUCCAGAAGUUCAUCGGGAAUUCUUCAAGAAGUUCCUCUGGAAUUCUUCCUCAUAUUCCAACGGAAUCCUUCCAGAAGUUCUUUGGGAGUUCUUCCAGAAGUUCCUCGGAAAUUCUUCCAGAUUUUCCUCCGGAAUUCAUCCAUAAGAUUCUCGGGAAUUAUUUCAAAAGCUCCUCGGGAGUUCUUCCAGAAGUUCCUUCAGAAUUCUUCCAGAAGUUCCUCGGGAAUUCUUCCUCAUAUUCCGGGAAUUCUUCCAGAAGUUCCUCGGGAAUAAUUUCAAAAGCUCCUCGGGAAUCCUUCCAAAAUUUCCUCGUGAGUUCUUCCGUAAGUACCUUGGGGAUUGUUCCAGCAGUUCCUGAGUUCUUCCAGAAGUUCCUCGAAAAUUCUUCCAUAUUUUCCUCUGGAAUUCUUCCAUAAAAUUCUCGGAAAUUAUUUCAAAAACUCCUCGGGAGCAAUUCCUGAAGUUCCUCGGGAAUUCUUCCAGAAGUUCCUCAAGAAUUCUUUCAGAAGUUGUAGGGAAUUCUUCUAGGAGUUCCUCGGGAAUUCUUCCAGAAGUUCCUCGGGAAUUCUUCCAGAAGUUCCUCGAGAAUUCUUCCAGGAGUUCCUCGGUAAUUCUUCCAGAAGUUCCUCUGGAACUCUUCCAGGAGUUCCUCGGUAAUUCUUCCAGAAGUUUCUCGGGAAUUCUUCUAGAAGUUCCUCGGGAAUUCUUCAAGAAGUUCCUCGGAAAUUCUUCCAGAAGUUCCUCGGAAAUUCUUCCAGAAGUUCCUCGGAAAUUCUUCCAGAAGUUCCUCGGAAAUUCUUCCAGAAGUUCCUCGGAAAUUCUUCCAGAAGUUCCUCGGAAAUUCUUCUAGAAGCUCCUCAUAAAUUCUUGCAGAAGUUCUUCAGCAAUUCUUCCUGAAGUUCCUUGGGAAUUCUUCCAGAAGUUCCUCAGGAAUUCUUCCAGAUAUUCCUCGGGAAUUCUUCCAGAAGUUCUUCAAGAAUUAUUCCAGAAGUUCCUCGUGAAUUUUCCAGAUAUUCCUCCGAAAUUUUUCCAGAAGUUCCUCGGGAAUUCUUCCGGAAGUUCCUCGGGAAUUCCACCUCAUAUUCCAACGGAAUCCUUCCAGAAGUUCCUCGGUAAUUCUUCCAAAACUUCUUUGGGAAUUUAUCCAGAAUUUCCUAGGGAAUUCUUCCAAAAGUUCCUCGGGAAUUCUUUCGAAAGCUCUUCGGGCAUUCUUCUGGAAGUUCCUGGCGAAUUCUUCCAGAAGUUCCUCGGGAAUUCUUCCAGGAGUUCCUCGGGGAUUCUUGCAGAAGUUUUUCGGGAAUAAUUUCAAAAGCUCCUAGAGAAUUCUUCUGGAAGUUCCUCGAGAGUUCUUCCAGAAGUUCCUCGGGUAUUCUUCCAGAAGUUCUUCCACAAAAUCUUCCACAAAAUCUUCCACAAGUUCCUUAGUAAUUCUUCCAUAAGUUCCUCGGGAGUUCUUCAAGAAGUUUUUCGGGAAUUCUUCCAGAAGUUUCUCAGGAAUUUUUCCAGGAGUUUCUCGGGAGUUCUUCCACAAGUUCCUCUGGAAAUCUUCCAGAUGUUUCUCGGGAAUUCUUUUCGUAGUUCUUCGGGAUUCUUCCAGAAGUUCCAAAGUAAUUCUUCUAAGAGUUCCUCGGAAAUUCUUCCAGAAGUUCCUGGGUAUUCUUUUAGAAAUUCAUCGGGCAUUCUUCCAGUUGUCUAUCGGGAAUUCUUUCAGAGGUUCCUAGGGAAUUCCUCCAGAAGUUCCUCGGAAAUUCCUUAAGGAGUUCCUCGGGAAUUCUUUCUCGGAAAAUAAUUAAAUAAUUCCUAAAAAUUCCCAAGGAUUCUCAGAAAUUCCCAGUCAUCUGAGAUGUAUUCUACGGAUUAAAGAAAAUAUUCUCAAUCAUUUAUGUGAGUCAAAAGCAUAUAAGAAAAUGAUUAAAUAAUUACUGAAAAUCCCUCAGGAUUCUCAGAAAUUCUUAUUCAUCUGGGAUAUAUCCUACGAAUUUAGAAAAAAUAUUUUCAAUCAUUUAUGUGAUUCAAAAGCAACUCGGAAAAUAUUUAAAUAAUUCCUGAAAAUCCCUUAGGAUUCUCAGAAAUUCCCAGUCAUCUGGGAUGUAUCCUUUGAAUUUAUGAAAAUAUUCUCAUUCAUUUAUGUGAGGCAAAAGCAUCUCGGAAAAGUUUUAAAUAAUAACUGAAAAUUCCUAAGGAUUCUCAGAAAUACCUAGUCAUCUGGGAUGUAUCCUACGAAUUUAAGAAAAUAUUCUCAAUCAUUUCCGAGCAUCUCGGAAAAUAUUUGAAUAAUUGAUGAAAAUCCCUUAGGAUUCUCAGAAAUUUCCAGUCAUUUGGGAUGUAUCCUACGAAUUUAACCCAAAAAGGGAUACCUGGGGUCCAUUGGACCCCAGGCGCCUUUCAGAGCUCGUCUUUGAUGGAACACACUCAGCGGGGUGACGAAACUGAGGCCAUGAAGGUAUCCCUUUUAAGUUAAGAAAAUAUUGUAAAUCAUUUAUGUGAGUCAAAAGCAUCUCGGAAAAUAUUUGAAUAAUUCCUGAAAAUCCCUAGGGAUUCUCAGAAAUUCCCAGUCAUCUGGGAUGUAUCCUACGAAUUUAAGAAAAUAUUCUCAAUCAUUUUUGUGAACCAAAAGCAUCCGGAAAAUAUUUAAAUAAUUCCUGAAAAUCCCUUAGGAUUCUUAGAAAUUCCCAGUCAUCUGGGAUGUAUUCCACGAAUUUAAGAAAAUAAUCUCAAUCAUUUAUGUGAGUCAAAAGCAACUCGGAAAAUAUUUGAAUAAUUCCUGAAAAUUCCUACGGAUUCUCAGAAAUUCUCAGUCAUCUGAGAUGUAUUCUACGAAUUUAAGAAAAUAUUCUCAAUCAUAUGUGAUUCAAAAGCAUCCUGGAAAAUAUUGAAAUAAUUCCAGAAAAUCCCUUAGGAUUCUCAGAAAUUCCCAGUCAUCUGGGAUGUAUCCUACGAAUUUAAGAAAAUAUUCUCAAUCAUUUCACGGUGUGUCUGGUAGAACAAAAUUAAUUUAAAAAAAAUCGGUAUCGCUAAAACACCCACCAAACGAAAGCUGAAGGUCCCCUCUUUCAUUUGAGACUAAAAUGAGAAAGUUCUAUCGGCGGGUCUAGAACAUUUUUUUUU